AACCAUAGAAACCUGCGGAGUACCUGCGGAGGGAUCAUUACAAGAAUCGAGGCUGACGGUGCCUACUCCCUAGGCUCCGUCCAGUCCCGCUCUCUACCUUGCCUACUGCACCGUUUGUUGCUUCCUGGCGGCGUCCCGUCGCCAGGGCCUUUUGAAAGCCAAGUAUAAGCAUUGAAACUUCUGACAUACACUAAAUCGUACAACUUUCAACAACGGAUCUCAGAUCGGGAGAGCACACGU
rnacentral:misc_RNA from 1 species